GCCCCUAUAGCUCAGUUGGAUAGAGCACGUCACUUCUAAUGAUGCGGUCGGGAGUUCGAAUCUCUCUGGGGGUGCCA
rnacentral:tRNA from 1 species